rnacentral:rRNA from 1 species
AGUAACACGUGGAUAACCUACCUAUAAGACUGGGAUAACUUCGGGAAACCGGAGCUAAUACCGGAUAAUAUUAUGAACCGCAUGGUUCAAAAGUGAAAUACGGUCUUGCUGUCACUUAUAGAUGGAUCCGCGCUGCAUUAGCUAGUUGGUAAGGUAACGGCUUACCAAGGCAACGAUGCAUAGCCGACCUGAGAGGGUGAUCGGCCACACUGGAACUGAGACACGGUCCAG